rnacentral:rRNA from 1 species
CGGGGGGAGCAAGCGUUGUUCGGAUUUAUUGGGCGUAAAGCGCGUGUAGGCGGUUUGUUAAGUCUGAUGUGAAAGCCCUGGGCUCAACCCAGGAAGUGCAUUGGAUACUGGCAGACUUGAAUACGGGAGAGGGUAGUGGAAUUCCUGGUGUAGGAGUGAAAUCCGUAGAUAUCAGGAGGAACACCGGUGGCGAAGGCGGCUACCUGGACCGAUAUUGACGCUGAGACGCGAAAGCGUGGGUAGCAAACAGGAUUAGAUACCCUGGUAGUCCACGCCGUAAACGAUGAGUACUAGGUGUUGCGGGUAUUGACCCCUGCAGUGCCGCAGCUAACGCAUUAAGUACUCCGCCUGGGAAGUACGGUCGCAAGACUA